rnacentral:rRNA from 1 species
CAUGUAGGCGGUCUGUCAAGUCUGAUGUGAAAGCCCGGGGCUCAACCCCGGAAGUGCAUUGGAAACUGGCAGACUUGAGUACGGGAGAGGAAAGUGGAAUUUCGAGUGUAGGGGUGAAAUCCGUAGAUAUUCGAAGGAACACCAGUGGCGAAGGCGGCUUUCUGGACCGAUACUGACGCUGAGAUGCGAAAGCGUGGGGAGCAAACA